rnacentral:rRNA from 1 species
GACGGAGGAGGCAAGCGUUAUCCGGAAUUAUUGGGCGUAAAGCGUCCGUAGGUGGUUAUUCAAGUCUUUUGUUAAAUAGUGGAGCUCAACUCCAUAGAGGCGGAAGAAACUGAGUAACUUGAGUGCGGUAGGGGUAGAGGGAAUUCCAGGUGUAGCGGUGAAAUGCGUAGAUAUCUGGAAGAACACCAGUGGCGAAGGCGCUCUACUGGGCCGUAACUGACACUGAGGGACGAAAGCUAGGGGAGCGAACGGG